rnacentral:rRNA from 1 species
GCGCAUCUAUUAGAUUAAAACCAAUCGGGUUUCGGCCCGUCAAUUGGUGACUCUGAAUAACUAUGGCUGAUCGCAUGGUCUUGAACCGGCGACGUGUCUAUCAAGUGUCUGCCUUAUCAACUGUCGAUGGUAGUUUAUGUGCCUACCAUGGUUGUAACGGGUAACGGAGAAUAAGGGUUCGACUCCGGAGAGGGAGCCUGAGAAACGGCUACCACAUCCAAGGAAGGCAGCAGGCGCGCAAAUUACCCACUCUCGGCAUGAGGAGGUAGUGACGAAAAAUAACGAGACCGUUCUCUCUGAGGCCGGUUAUCGGAAUGGGUACAAUUUAAACCCGUUAACGAGGAUCUAUGAGAGGGCAAGUCUGGUGCCAGCAGCCGCGGUAAUUCCAGCUCUCAAAGUGUAUAUCGUCAUUGCUGCGGUUAAAAAGCUCGUAGUUGGAUCUGCGCCUCAGGACUUGGUCCGCCCACUGGGCGAGAACUGGGCUCCUGGGCUAGUACUGCUGGUUUUCCCUACGUUGCCUUCAUCGGUCGCGUAGGGUGGCUAGCGAGUUUACUUUGAAAAAAUUAGAGUGCUUCACGCGGGCUUAUGUCUGAAUACUCGUGCAUGGAAUAAUAGAAUAGGAUCUCGGUUCUAUUUUGUUGGUUUUCUGAUCUGAGAUAAUGGUUAAGAGGGACGGACGGGGGCAUUCGUAUCGCUGCGUGAGAGGUGAAAUUCUUGGACCGUAGCGAGACGUCCGACUGCGAAAGCAUUUGCCAAGAAUGUCUUCAUUAAUCAAGAACGAAAGUCAGAGGUUCGAA